rnacentral:rRNA from 1 species
UACGUAGGGGGCAAGCGUUGUCCGGAUUUAUUGGGCGUAAAGAGCGUGUAGGCGGCCUGAAAGGUCAGCUGUGAAAACUCGAGGCUCAACCUCGAGACGUCGGUUGAAACCAUCUGGCUAGAGUCCGGAAGAGGAGUGUGGAAUUCCCGGUGUAGCGGUGAAAUGCGCAGAUAUCGAGAAGAACACCGGUGGCGAAGGCGGCCAACUGGACGGUGACUGACACUGAGACGCGAAAGCGUGGGGAGCAGACAGG